rnacentral:rRNA from 1 species
AGUGAACGCUGGCGGUAGGCCUAACACAUGCAAGUCGAACGGCAGCACAGUAAGAGCUUGCUCUUACGGGUGGCGAGUGGCGGACGGGUGAGGAAUACAUCGGAAUCUACUUUUUCGUGGGGGCUAACGUAGGGAAACUUACGCCAAUACCGCAUACGACCUACGGGUGAAAGCAGGGGAUCUUCGGACCUCGCGCGAUUGAAUGAGCCGAUGUCGGAUUAGCUAGUUGGCGGGGUAAAGGCCCACCAAGGCGACGAUCCGUAGCUGGUCUGAGAGGAUGAUCAGCCACACUGGAACUGAGACACGGUCCAGACUCCUACGGGAGGCAGCAGUGGGGAAUAUUGGACAAUGGGCGAAAGCCUGAUCCAGCCAUACCGCGUGGGUGAAGAAGGCCUUCGGGUUGUAAAGCCCUUUUGUUGGGAAAGAAAAGCAGCAGGUUAAUACCCCGCUGUUCUGACGGUACCCAAAGAAUAAGCACCGGCUAACUUCGUG